UCCUGGUUAGCUCAAUUGGUAGAGCUCUCCACUGAAAAUGGAGAAUGUUCCUGGUUCGAUAUCAGGACCAUGCA
rnacentral:tRNA from 2 species